rfam:Gossypium raimondii Chr06_contig_1150, whole genome shotgun sequence.
GCAUGCCUGGCUCCCUGUAUGCCAUUUGCAAAGCUCAUCAAGAGUCUGGUGGCCUUCGCGUAUGGCGUGCGAGGAGCCAUGCAUGC